CGUUACUCCUCCUUGAGGAGUAACCGCUUUGCACCCUAUCCCAGCCCCUAUACCCACAGGAGUGCAUCACCCACUGCUUAUUCAGACAGCUCGUCUACCUGUCUGUCCAUGUUGCCGUCCCAUGACAACUGGUCCAGCCUACAGGUGCCGUCCCAUUCCGGCAUGUUACCCAUGAGUCAUAGCGGCACCUCCGGGAGCAGCUCCAGCCAGUAUCCCAGUUUGUGGUCAAUGAG